CUCUUUGGUGGUGGUGCUGCAGAUUUGAGAACAAUAGGAGCAGAGCCUUUGAAAGCAGAUGGAAUUACUGCAGGAGGACAAUGGAGAACUAGGUUCACUUGACACCUUUACUUUAAAUAUGUUUGCAAAUAUCAGCUGCAAUAAUGACUGCUGCUUCUGCAAACACAAAACCACAGUCACGUAACCUCCAUGUGUUUCAGUUUCUUCAACAGCAAAAAUUAGGAGCGCAAUUUUCACCCAUCUACAAGAACAGUCCGAGGAACUGCUGAAGAUGACAAUCAGUAAACCUCAAGCCAUGAAAUACUGCCCUGGUUCCAUCUUUUUUUUUUUUUUAAAUCAAAGUCAUCAAAGAGACAAAGAAGCUAGAAACAGCUUCUCUGGAACAAAUUCUUGAGUUACAUUGUAUAAAUGAGGCUCUCAGUUUGCAGAACUAUCUAAAGUACCAGUUAUAUUAGAAAUUGUAAGCAAUUUUGGGCACUUUGCCUGAGAGAUUUGAGCCAAUGGAACCAAUCUUUAUUUUAGCAGGCAGAACACCUGCCUGGGAAAGCAGGAGACACAGCUUCUCUUCCCACGAUGCCUUCUCCAUGUGAAAUAAUCUAUUAGCUGGAUUUCCAGUGUUCCUACAUACACUUGGAGAGGAGAAUCAUUCCAGGGCAUCUAUACGAGAAAGAGACUUGUCUGUGUCAGAUGUACACUCAAUAGGAUAUAGCAGCACAUUUCCUUUACCAGAAGCUGACAACUAUAAAUCUCUUGAGAGAAAGCUACCGUUAGACAUACACAUAUACAGCAGUGCAAGAAUCUACGACAACUCCAAAAGACUCAUGAUGGAAAUUGCUAUCCACGCCCAGAGAAAGAAC